UCAAGAAACUUCCACAAUGGGCGAAAGCCUGAUGGAGCGACGUCGCGUGAUGGACGAAGUGCUUCGGCACGUAAACAUCUUUUAUGUGGGAUGAAAUUAUUGACAGUACCACAUGAAUAAGGGGCUCCUAACUCUGUGCCAGCAGGAGCGGUAAUACAGAGGCCCCAAGCGUUAUCCGGAAUCACUGGGCUAAAGGGUGUCGAGGCGGUUGUAUUAGUCGUUCGUAAAAUCUACGAGCUUAACUUGUAGGCGGCGAACGAAACGGUACGACUUGAGGUUUGGAGAGGUGCGUGGAACUCACGGUGUAGGGGUGAAAUCCGUUGAUAUCGUGGGGAACACCAAAGGCGAAGGCAGCGCACUGGCCAAAAUCUGACGCUCACACACGAAAGCUAGGGUAGCGAAGAGGAUUAGAUACCCCUGUAGUCCCUGAGCGGGCUGGCAAGGCGCAU
rnacentral:rRNA from 1 species